UACGUAGGGACCAAGCGUUGUUCGGAUUUACUGGGCGUAAAGGGCGCGUAGGCGGCAAUUCAAGUCAUCUGUGAAAUCUCCGGGCUUAACUCGGAACGGUCAGAUGAUACUGCUUUGCUAGAGUACAGAAGGGGCAAUCGGAAUUCUUGGUGUAGCGGUGAAAUGCGUAGAUAUCAUUUGGAACGCCAAUGGUGAAAACAGGUAGCUGGGAGUGUGCUGACGCUGAGACACGAAAGCCAGGGGAGCAAACGGG
rnacentral:rRNA from 1 species